CCUACGGGCGGCAGCAGUGAGGAAUAUUGGUCAAUGGGCGUAAGCCUGAACCAGCCAAGUCGCGUGAGGGAUGAAGGUUCUAUGGAUCGUAAACCUCUUUUAUAAGGGAAUAAAGUGCGGGACGUGUCCCGCUUUGUAUGUACCUUAUGAAUAAGGAUCGGCUAACUCCGUGCCAGCAGCCGCGGUAAUACGGAGGAUCCGAGCGUUAUCCGGAUUUAUUGGGUUUAAAGGGUGCGUAGGCGGCCUUGUAAGUCAGCGGUGAAAGGCUGUGGCUCAACCAUAGAAUUGCCGUUGAAACUGGGAGGCUUGAGUAUGUUUGAGGCAGGCGGAAUGCGUGGUGUAGCGGUGAAAUGCUUAGAUAUCACGCAGAACCCCGAUGGCGAAGGCAGCCUGCCAAGCCAUGACUGACGCUGAGGCACGAAGGCGUGGGGAUCAAACAGGAUUAGAUACCCCUGUAGUC
rnacentral:rRNA from 1 species